rnacentral:lncRNA from 1 species
GAGGGGGAGGAGGGAGGGAGAAGGAUGGUAGGGCCCAUAGGGGCAAUAUCAUCUUUUCGCAGGUCAUUUAACAGUUUCCGGACGGAAAAUCCAAUAGACUGUCGUAUAAGGAACGAAAGUUGAAGUCGGUGUCAAAUAGGAAACUAAAAUUUUUUAAGGGUCAAGGAAGGAACGGGUCAUUUGUCUGAUAUCAAAUAAGGAAUUAUCUCAUUAAACAAAGAAGAAGGCCUACUGCUUUCCUGUAAAGCUGUCGUACCACUUUCAUGCGGAUCAAGACAGAAGAUCAAGUUUCCAUGCUACGCGUGCAUCAAGAGCU